rnacentral:tRNA from 1 species
GGUGGUCUAAAUUUAGUACAUGAUCUUAGCUUUGGGGGUUGAGGAUGGGAGUUAGAGUCCCCCCCUCCUGA